CCUUUUCAUGUUGUCUCGGAUCGCUUCACCAUUUCUUCAACCUUCCGCUUCUGCAGCACGGUCAACCCGCCAACCCGUCGCCAACCCGUCGCCAACCACUGCUUUCCUCUUCACAACCCUCCCUCACUCGCUGGUCAAACUCAAGAUCGCUCCCAUCAACCAGCUCCGUCGCUGCAAGAUACGGAGAAGGAAUGGCGGCUCCACAGCAAGUUCGGCGGGUCUUCUGCGUUGGAACGGCCGACACGAAGCUCGAUGAGCUCCGGUUCCUCGCCGACUCCGUCAGGUCGCACGUCGCCGCCUUCGCCGCCAACCCUCGCUUUACGGUAGAAGUAGCUGUUGUUGAUGUAUCAGCCGGUCAGGAUGAGAUUCAAAGUGUUGAAGGCCUAAUCUUUACCCCUCGAAAGGAACUGCUUUCUCAGUACUUCGAAUUCAAUAACCAAAAACCGCAAAAACUUCCGGACGACAGAGGCGAGGCUGUCUCGUUAAUGAGCAAAGCGUUGGAGAUUUACCUGAAAAGAGCUAGCGAGGAUCAGAUACUAGCUGGAGCUAUCGGACUUGGAGGAAGCGGAGGCACCUCUCUGAUAUCAUCUGCAUUUAGAGCUCUUCCACUGGGUUUGCCCAAGGUAAUUGUGUCGACCGUGGCUAGUGGACAAACGGAGCCUUACAUUGGAUCGACAGAUUUGGUGCUAUUUCCUUCUGUAGUGGAUGUGUGUGGGAUUAAUAGCGUGAGUAGGGUGGUGUUUUCCAAUGCUGCGGCUGCUUUUGCUGGAAUGGUGAUCGGGAGGAUUGAUACAUGCAGGGAGAAAAAUAAGGUGGAUGCGAAGUCAACUGUGGGUGUUACUAUGUUUGGUGUUACGACUCCGUGCGUGAAUGCUGUGAUAGAGAGGUUAAGUAAGAACGGUUAUGAGACUUUGGUUUUCCAUGCCACAGGCGUUGGAGGCAGGGCCAUGGAGUCUCUGGUUAGAGAAGGAUUCAUACAGGGUGUUUUGGACAUCACGACAACUGAGGUUGCUGAUCAUAUUGUCGGAGGUGUUAUGGCUUGUGACAGUUCCCGUUUUGAUGCCGUUAUAGAAAAAAGGGUUCCUCUAGUCCUCAGUGUGGGUGCCCUAGACAUGGUGAAUUUUGGAGCUAGAGAUGCCAUACCUUCUAGUUUUCAGCAAAGAAAGAUCCAUGAACAUAAUAAACAGGUUUCACUUAUGCGAACUACUGUUGAGGAGAACAAGAAAUUCGCUGACUUCAUAGCGAACAAAUUGAACAAGUCAUCAUCAAAAGUCUGCGUUUGUCUUCCGGAGAAGGGUGUUUCUGCUUUGGAUGCACCAGGAAAGCCAUUUCAUGACCCUGAUGCUACUGCUGCUCUUGUAAAUGAACUACAGAAACUUAUUAACACAAACAACGACAGAAAGAUCAAAGUGUAUCCUUACCAUAUCAAUGACGUGGAGUUUGCAAAUGCAAUUGUUGACUCCUUUUUGGAGAUUAAUAAGAACAAUGGGAAAGAAUUCAGUCCUCAAACUUCUGUAGCUGUUUCUAUUGAAGAUUCGAAUGUGGGAGCAGUGCCAACGAUGGGUUACUCAAGCUUCAAGGCCACUAUGUACUCACCAAGUGAUUUCCCAGAUGCACAUCCAGAAACUUUGAAAAGAACACAAGCUAUAUUGCACCAGCUGCAAGAUCAAAUAAAUAGAGGGAUUCCAAUAAUAGGGGCUGGUGCAGGGACAGGCAUCUCCGCGAAAUUCGAAGAAGCGGGUGGCGUUGAUCUAAUAGUUUUGUACAACUCCGGCCGCUUUCGCAUGGCGGGAAGAGGUUCUUUGGCAGGGUUGUUGCCUUAUGCUGAUGCCAAUGCGGUCGUGCUAGAUAUGGCUAAUGAAGUGCUUCCUGUUGUGAAGGCAGUACCCGUUCUUGCUGGAGUAUGUGGAACUGACCCUUUUCGUCGAAUGGAUUACUUCCUAAGGCAAGUGGAGUCCAUUGGAUUUUUUGGGGUGCAAAAUUUUCCCACAGUGGGGCUUUUUGAUGGUAAUUUCAGACAGAAUCUGGAAGAAACAGGAAUGGGAUAUGGCUUGGAAGUUGAGAUGAUAGCAAAAGCUCACAAAAUGGGUCUAUUAACAACUCCUUAUGCUUUCAAUGAAGAUGAAUCUGCAGAAAUGGCAAAAGCUGGAGCUGAUAUUAUAGUGGCUCAUAUGGGCCUCACAACUUCUGGCUCAAUAGGUGCAAAGACUGCUGUCACAUUGGAGGAAAGUGUAGUUCGUGUACAAGCUAUAGCAAAUGCCACACAUAGGAUCAAUUCCCAUGCUAUCAUCUUAUGCCAUGGAGGUCCUAUAUCUGGUCCAAAAGAGGCAGAAUUCAUACUGAAGAACACUGAGGGAGUUCAUGGGUUUUAUGGCGCAUCAAGCAUGGAGAGGCUACCUGUUGAAAAAGCAAUUAAAAGCACAGUUCAAGAAUACAAAUUAAUAUCCCUGAAGUGAGGUUCAGUGUAUCACUCUGUAUACUAAGAUGUCAAUUACAAGUUUGUAUUUCCUUACACACUGGGCAGAACCGAUCAUUCUGAAGGAUACGUGGGGAAAUAUUAUUUUUUAUUUGGUGGACCCCGUUGGUUAUUGAUUUGUGAUGGGCUGAAUAUUUUAGAACGAGUUUACGCAACGAAAUUUUGGAUGGGUACAUUGCUUAGCAGAGCUGCAGAUAGACAUACCUGUAUCCACUCGUCAUUCGGUGCAAGAAGGCCAACAUGGUAACUUUUGCCAUGUUCAUUCCCAAGCAUGUUCUGGGUCCGGACCCGAAAGGAGAAAGAAACGAGAGGCGUCGAAGAUGGCGUAUUUACAUCAAAUCGCGAAGGGUUAAAUUGAAUGGGAUUCUUGUACAUGCUGGGAUCAUAGUGAAUGCAAGUCGCAUCAAUGUUUACAUGCCAUCCUUUCUUGAUAUUGUGACCUGCAUGUUCCACGGAUGAUUUAGUACGUAGUUUUCAGGAACUUGACACUCCACAUCAUGGCAGCUGCAGUGGUGGUUUGCCCAGCAAUGAUCAGAGUCAACAGAUUGUCCAUGAUCUCUGAGUCAUCCAGCUUCUCUUCAGGAGGCAAUGAAUCUCUCUCCAGCAUCGACUGCAAGAAGUCCUCAGGAGCUCCUCCCUCCCCUCUUCCUCUUCUCUCCUCUAUCAUUUCUCUGAAUCUUUCCAUCAGCCUACUUCUUGCCUGCAUCAACCAUUUCACCAUAUUCUAUUUGUUUCUUUUACUUUUGUAGCCUACUGGAUUUACGAGUGCAAUUUUGGAUUUCAAAUGGCAGGCUACGGUAA